UAGGGAAUCUUCCACAAUGGACGAAAGUCUGAUGGAGCAACGCCGCGUGAGUGAAGAAGGGUUUCGGCUCGUAAAACUCUGUUGUUAAAGAAGAACAUAUCUGAGAGUAACUGUUCAGGUAUUGACGGUAUUUAACCAGAAAGCCACGGCUGACUACGUGCCAG
rnacentral:rRNA from 1 species